AUUGUGCCAUGAACUUUCUGAAAUACCAUCGUUGAAAUUUCUUUCCUGUAGAUUAGUUUAUAUAUAGGUUUUUGUAUUUUUUGUAUAAUUUAUAGAAUAGUUUAAAAUAAAAUGGAAGUAGAAGCAUCAACGGAGGAACAUGCUGUUGAGAUUAUUAGAGAAGGUGUAAGAGAACUUGUUGCUACCGAAAGAAAAGAGAGUCGGUUGAAAGUUUUAAAUAAAAAUCGUGUGGCUUUGGGAUAUACCGUCUUGGAUUCAUCUUUCACACGAAAAUUUGUUGUUGAACAGGCAGAAAUACUUAAAAAGAAACCAUUGCCAAUUGAAAGAUACAAGCAACUUCAGAAUGCUCUUAUUCAGAACGAAGAAAAUGUCAAUGCUUUUUUAAAAGUGAAUAACAUAUUGUUUGCUCUGGCACGCGAUUUCUCUGGUAACAAUCCAAUUAUACAAUUAUGUGCUAUCAGUUGUGCCUGCAAUAUUGCGCUUGGAAAUACCAAGGCUUGUACUUCAUUGGCUAAAAGUAUUGGAUCGUAUCUUACUACGGAAUUAGAUAGUUUAAACUAUCCUUUAGUAGAAGUCUCUAUAUGGACAAUGGGAAAUUUAAUUGCUGGAAGUAAUAAAGCUUUUGAAAUAUUUCACGCCCAAAGUUGUUUAAAGCAUAUUAUUUCGCUAAUGCAAAACUGUGAUAAUAUGAUUUUAUCAGCGGUAGCAUAUUGUGCCAUGCAUUAUGUGCGCGUUGGCUUUCAGCAUAUUAGCAAAAUUGAAAUGGUUGAACUUACUAGAGUUACUACAGAAAGAAGUCUUUCCUUUGAAAGUUCAUAUAUGAUUUGGUUGUUAGCUUUACUGUCUUCGCAGGAACCUUGUAACAUAUAUGUAUAUAAUGUUGUACCCUUGAUAGUGGAUUAUCUACAUCAAAGUAUUAAAAAUAAUUACACUGCUGUAACGGAGAUCACAGCAUGCAUAAGAAUAUUGGCUAACACUGUGCAGGAAACAUCUGGAAAGGUGGCAAAACUGUUUUUAGAAAAUUUAAAAUAUACCCAGUUAGAUGUAGAAACAUUGUUGAAUGGAUUACUUUCGUGUCAGUAUGUACAUAUCAGAAAAGAAACAUUGUGGUUAAUAGGAAAUCUUUAUAAUCACAAUGUUAUCAGUAUCAAAAAUACUAUUCAAAACAUCAUACCUAAGUUACCAUCCAUGAAGCAAGCAAUUUCAUCUGCAACAGAGCAGAGCAUACUGGUAAAUGCAGAUCAAAUCAGUUGAAUGGAAACGUCAUGAAUAAAUCGUCUUCCUAAUCCUACGGAAGUCCGUUCGGCUGAUGGAUCAUCCUCUAUGCAAGGUAUUUUAAUUACAUUGAAAUAUAAGUGACCCAUGAUGUGGGCAGCCGGAUGCGUUGCAGCUUUUAAACAAUAAUACAACGCCUCGUCGCACACGCAAUGCGAUCUGCAAAGCAAUAUCUCCGGUUCCACACCACUUGGUACCUACAAUGACUGAACGCCAGUUACGAUUGCUUCAAAUCAGAAGAUGCACAGUCAGUGAACAACAAACACAAGAUAUCACCUGGUAAGAUGCCUGAAAGAAGAGAUAAGACGCUCCCCAUUCCAUGAAUACUUUUGCUCAUUGUAUUUAUCAUCGAACUGGAUGUCGUAUCGUCGCGUACUUCAUCUAACAGUUCACACUGUUGCAUGAGUUUUGUCAUUUCUUGAAAUGUAACUAACUGCGGAGCCGUAAUCAACGAUAGGUUCCUUAGAACUUCAGUGGCUUCAUCUUGUUCGCUGUGACCAUGAAAUGGAUAACACUUCUGUGGGAUGCAAAAACCACUCACUAUACUUCAAUCAAGUUGCAAUUGUGCAACUCGUUGUUAGUUCCAAGGUCGACCACAGCAACAGUCUGGUCAUGGUAAUAAACAGCCCUUAUUUCGUUUCUGUUCUCCGCAUCGCUCCAUACUGUCACACCGUUCAAUCCCUUGAACGUAUUCUUGGAGAAGGUUGGCUGCUGUUUGCUGAUGCUGCUAAUCGCUACGAUUAAGAAGAAUAUCCAACAAAGAGAGUACAUUUCGAUGCUUUACGUCAUACUACGUAUCGAUGAACACUUUUUCCUUGCACAGAACCGCGUGAUUACGCGAUGGGCAUUGUUUAAGAAUUUUCCUGCCGGAAAUAGUGAAUCAAAGGAGCAGAUAGCGAACCGCAGUAGAAGAAAGACGCGGCAGCUCGAUCAUAAAUGGGAUCGAGAUAUCCGUUCUCUUCAGUUCUGUAAAAGAAACGUUUUUACACUUCCAAUUAAUUAGAACAAUUGUUAAUUUUUUAAUUAUGAAAGGAACUUUGGACACGUUUAAACAAACAUUGAUAUACAUAAUUGUAUAAUAUUGCAAAAAACACGGUCUUGUCAAAAACUAGCGUAUACAUUGCGUAAUAAAGAUUCAAACUAAAAUGUAUGCCGCUGGACAUUCUUCGAGAUGUUAAUUGUAUCGCCGCGAAAAUGUUGUACAAACGAGAAUCCGUUCCGCUGUCAAAUGUAACGCCCUCGUAUCAGAUGUUCAAUCGUGUGUCCACGGUGUUCGAAAAGCAACGAUAACAUUGGGAUGUUCGUACCUGGUCCGGUCUAUUCUGCCCUCCUCAUUCUUCGCGAUUCGAUCGCAUGCCCGUUGUUGCACGGCUGACCAGACGGGAACACACUGGAAUUUCGCGGGAACCUUCGACAAGAAUAAUCCAGACGUUAAGAGGAUUUAGAGGUAUAUCUCUUGCGAAUGAUACACGGUUUGCAUGCUUGUGAUGCACGAGCCGGUGUCAGGAAGUUCAACGUUGGCGGGCUGAACGAUCGAAUCAGGAUAUAUAGCACGACGAGUUUCAGAAGAUCCCUGAAGGAGUGGUCAGUACAUGGUGGGACGAGUGGCGGGAAUCAUGCUCUCCCUUCCAUCGCCAUUCGUGGCCAGAGCAUGCUUAUCGAUCUAGACGCGUUACAAGCGUAUACACCUGUGGCUCCCCCACUAUGCCUCUUACUUUAUCACCGAUGUUACAUGAUGUUACCUGACGAACAAGGGGGAGGGCCCACAUUCGAGAAGACUAGGACAAAGAAAGUGGGACAAAGAGUAGAGAAUUAUGCGACUAGUACAUGGCCAGUGUGUACAUCGGAACGUUUCAGAAAUCCGAGAGAAAUUAGAAUCGGCGAGGUUCGCUACCGCGUUGCACGCCCCUUCCGAUGAAUUUCGAAACACCUGUUGAGUCUCGUAAUCAGAGAACCGGAGAUAAACUUGUACUUUUUACACUUGAUUUAUUUUCUCGUACGUUCUGGAACGAUUUAAUUUUGAAUUUAUGAUUUAACAGCUUGUAAAUGUCAAAAAUUGUAACUCAUAAAUGAUAUAUGUACUUAAAAAUUUUUAAAUACGAUUAUUGCAGUAUUCAACGUUUAAGUCGUUAGUGUCCUGUACAAACGAUAUGAACGUAAUUUAAGAGCGUUUAGUUAACGAGGAUAGAAAUGUACGCGAAUACAAUAAUUUCUCUAAGACUGGCUCGAUUUCAAGGGUUGUUGUUCGUGCGACGAGGCGUUAGUCUUAGAGGCUCCGUUCACCGGGUACUGAUUUCCAAUCCGGGUGGUGCUUAGAGUGAUACUAAUUGGCGUAGCGUUCAAAAGUUGUUGACGAACUGGGCACUGUCGGUAGCCUGUAAUUGAAAAUACAAAGAACAAUAUUAGACGUUCGUUAAGAAAACGUGACUAAUAGUUACGUAUAGUUAAUGAACUCGUUAACCCUUUCAACGAUCCACCAUCACUGAUUUCAAGUAUAAAUUAUGCGUUUUUCGUGCGCUGACGUCAACAACAGAUAAUAGGAGAGCGAUUUCUCGAAAAGAGAGAAAUAAGAAUAUCUAAUCGGUUCUUCAUUCGCCGUUGGAACUUCACGAAAAAAGAAGUUACGUGUUGUGUUAAAUUUUAGAUAAAAUAAUGUUCGUAUCUUUGACCGUUCAAUGUACAUACAGUGGGUGAUCAAAUUAUUAGAGCCAUUUUAAGGUUUUUACAUUGUGUAACUUUUAAUCAAUAAUUCUCCACUAAUAAUAUACAAAAAAAUUACUUAUAAAAAUAAGCAAAUACAUUUAAAAGAUUAUAUUUACAGAUGUAAUGUUAGUAUCUCGUAACGCCGCCUUUUGCUGCAAUUACUGCCACAAUUCUUUUUUACUGGCACAUACUUUUAUCAGAUGUUGAAUCAAUUAACAUUCAUUAUUAUCACGUUGAACGCCACUAAUAAUUGAAGCUCUAAUUAUUAAGAAUAGAAAUAGUUAAUUUUCAAAUUUCAAGCUUUCUAUUUACCAUUUUACAUUAUAUGUACCAUAACUAUUGUUUUCUUUUAAUUAUUCAGGCACGUGUAAUUUGCGGUGUCGGUCACCGGUGACCCCCAUGGCGUUCAACGUGUAAUAGAAAAUGUUCCCACAAAUUUUUGAUGGGGUUGAGGUCCAGAGAAUUUUCCUUUUUUCAACUGUGUAUCAUAACUUUACAUAUCAUAAAAAAGUAACAAAGUGGCUCUAAUAAUUUGACCACCCACUGUACAUUGUACGAGAAUUUUCGUUUCCUCUUUCGUAGCCUUGCAAAUGACAGACAGAUUUGGCUCGAUGACAAUUUUAAAGAUAAAACAAACUUGUAUUAAUUUGUCAUUAUGAUUUCUGACGAAACACACGAUACAAGUAUUUGUAAUGCCCCUGUGACCGCGUAGCUGGCGAUAUGAUAAUUUUCUGAUAUUUCACUAUAAGGAAACAAGAGAAAUUCUAGUAAGGGACCACCAAGAGGUUCUCUUAAUAUUUCAUCUCAGGUCAGAAGAUUUUGCAUCUUAUUACUAUAUAAAAAUUAAUAUACCAGCAUGAUGCGGUCCGGAACAGUGACAACAAAUAGGAUUGUUUCGUGGCCUGGGACAAAAUUCAACGCUGUGCGGUUCACCGCACCGAACGCAACGCGUACACCGUCUCCUGUUUGGAAGUUCGAUGCCUCGAGAAAAUUAUUUACGAUUCCUGGGCCAGCUUGCAACGGUCCAGCGGCAUUUCCAGUCCCGCCGCGCCACCAGCGCUCCGGAACCGCGGUAAAUCGGGCUGCGCCGAAAAAGUCCAAGCCUUGACGCAACAAUAGCUCGUAGUGUCCUGCAUCGAGUACCUGAAACGAAUAUCAAUGAGUUAACGUGAAUUUCUUACAAGCAUCAUUUUAUGAAUCAUAGUCUUUAAUACGAGAUUAGAGUUUUUGAGGUCGUUUAUCAGAUAAUCGGGUUAUCGAAAAACGUUGUACGUAUUUGCAAUUCAACGUUAAAUUAACUCGUAGUAUAAUAAUAAUAAUAAUAAUAAUAAUUUCU